GACGGGGGGGGCAAGUGUUCUUCGGAAUGACUGGGCGUAAAGGGCACGUAGGCGGUGAAUCGGGUUGAAAGUGAAAGUCGCCAAAAAGUGGCGGAAUGCUCUCGAAACCAAUUCACUUUGAGUGAGACAGAGGAGAGUGGAAUUUCGUGUGUAGGGGUGAAAUCCGUAAAUAUACGAAGGAACGCCAAAAGCGAAGGCAGCUCUCUGGGUCCCUACCGACGCUGGGGUGCGAAAGCGUGGGGAGCAAACAGG
rnacentral:rRNA from 1 species